rnacentral:lncRNA from 10 species
GUUUCCUGUGCUAUUCUUGUGAUUGACAGUGAAUGAGUCUCACAAGAUCUGACGGUUUUUAAAAACGGGAGUUUCCCUGCACAAAUUUGCUUGCUGGCAACCAUGUGAGAUGGGACUUUCUCCUCCUUGACUUUCGCCAUGAUUGUGAGGCCUUCCCAGCCAUGUGGAACUCUUCUUUCGUGGCAAUUUUCCCCCAGGAGGGAUUUCCCUGCAGUGGACCUCCUCCCCAGUGGUACCUUCAGCCAUCAGAACACCUCGCUUUAGAUCUGUGGGUCCCAAAUUUCAUCAAAUCCAAUGACCAUUUCUAUGAUCACUCAUUCUGGGGGCAGCCCUCUGGCAUGUAAUGAGCAGUCCUAUGGAGAGGCCCAUGUGACAGUAGCCAUGCGAGUGACACUGGAAGUGAAACCUGCAGCUCCAGUCAAGCCUUUAGAAGACUGCAGCCCUGGCUGACAGCUUGACAGCAAACUCAUGAGAGACUCUCAGCUUGAACAACUCAGCUAAACUGUUCCUGGGUUCCUGGUCCUCAAAAACUGUUAUAAAAGACAUUGUGGCUACCAUCUCUCAUCACUCACUCAAAGGGAAGCCAACCACCAUGCAAUGAGAAUCUCAGGUAAUGAGGACCUGAGACCUGUUGUCAAUCACGUGAAUAAGCUUGGGAGGAGAUUCUCCAGCCCCAGUCAAGCCUCAGAAGACUUCAGCCCUAGGUGACAGCUUGAUGAUAAUCUCGGGAGGCAGAACCACCCAACUAAGCCACUCCUGGAUUCCUGACCCUGACCCUGACCCUAGAAACAGUGUGAGCUGGAAUUCUGUGAAGCACAUGACCUCAAGUCUUUGGAUAAAUGGAAACGCAGCUUAUGCCGGAAAGAUGGAAGGCUGGCUGUACUAAUAUCAGAAAUGGAAGAGGAGAGACAUCACUAGAGAUCCCAUGGAUAUUGAAAGGAUAAUAAAGGAGUAUUAUGAGCAUUGUUAUAUUUUAUGUCUCCUAUAAGCUGUAAAUUCCUACAUAGCAAGAAUUCUGUCUUACUCAUCCUUUAACAACUACUGUGUACCUUAUAAUGUUUCAUAAAAUAUUAUGAUUUGGUUUUAUUAUUCACAAAAGAAUGCUAUAAGAGGUGAAAAAUGGAGAGGCUAGAAAGCAUAAAAACAAGUUACAUCAGGUGGUAGAGCCUGGUUUAAGGGUCAAAGAUAAAAGAAGGGAAGGUUAAGGGCAGGGCUUUAGAGGGAGAGAGGAUAAACACAGUUUGAUUAAAUGGCUGAUUCAGCCGGGUGUGGCGGCUCAUGCGUAUAAUCCCAACACUUUGAAAGGCUGAGGCAGGAGGAUUGCUUGAGCCUAGGAGUUCAAGACCAGCCUGGGCAACAUGGAGAAAUCCUAUCUCUACCAAAAUACAAAUACAAAAACAAAAAUUAGCCAGGUGUGGUUAUAUACACCUGUAGUCCCAGCUGCUUGGGAGGCAGAGGUGGGAGGAUUGGUUAGGUCUAGGAAGUUGAGGCUGCAGUGACCUAUGAUUGCUCCACUGCACUCUAGCCUUGGUGACACAGAGAGAUCCUGUCUCAAAACAAAAACAAACAACAACAACAAAAAACAUAUAUAUAUAUAUAUGAGGUUUAUCCACAGUAAAGUUCAGUCUAGGGUUAAUAAAAGAUUCUAGGGUUCACUAAGACAAAGAGUAGUCGCAGUAGCAGAGCCUUGGGUGAAGCUAAGGUCCCCAGGAGAUCUGGGAUGUCUGUGAGGAACAGUGAGGCUUAGUCAUUCAGACAAGCCAGCAGAAGUGAAGUUUAGAGAAUGUGGAUGGGCCUCAGGCUCUAGACAUCAAAACAAACAGAUAGAAAAGGCAGAGUGUAGAAUCCAGACAGUGAGGCUCACAACAAGGUAUGCAAUUCUGCAUAAGCAGAUUUGAGGGGACACCAACUAUGGACUGAUGUAGAUAAAUAUUUCUGGUAAUUCCAGUUAGUGAUUCACUCUGAACUCACAUAGGAUAGUAUCUCUUCAAAGGCACUUGUGUUGUAAUUAAAUGCACACAUAAGACAUAAUGCUUAUUGAGCCCUUAGCAUGUACCACCCACUCUUAUGCAUACUAUAUGUUUAAACCAUUUAAACUCACACCAACCCCCUGGGGGUAGGUAGUAUUAUUAUCCCUGUUACAGAUAAGGAAAGUGAGAAGUAGGAGUUAAUUGGUCUCAUGAUCCCCUACAGGCUGGCCUUCCAGAAAAAGGAGGUAACUUGCCCCAGGAUACCCUGGAAACCAAUCAGAAUGAAUUGCCUUAAACUCUGGCUUGUAGCCCAAAGCAAGGCUUGCCCACAAGUCUUGCCAGUAUGUGGUUGAACAGAAAUUAGAAUCCAGACAGCCUGAGUCCUUUUCUUGCCAGGCAGGGGCUGGGGCUUCCCCAACCAUGAAAGUUCAGGUGGUAGAUCCUGCCACUGCUUUGCACACCAGCUCCCUGGUGCUAACCUCAACUGCCAGUGCUGAGCUGGAAGGAUAGGGCUGGAGGCAAACUCCUACCCCAUCAUGUUGCUGGUGUAUUCCAUCCUGGUAUUGGUCACACCAAGGAAGGGCCUGGACUUUCCUAAUCAUGCAGCUUAAAAGCAACACAAGGCAAGGCGGGGAGUCCGCUCUCCUGAAGUCUGACAUCCAGGAAGACCAGAUUGCUAUGUGCUGUCUUUGACUUACUUGGAGACUCACACACCUACACUAGUGCCCCCUUAUCUGAGGGGGAUGCAUUCCAAGACCCCCAGUGGAUGCUUGAAACCAUAAAUAAUACCAAACCCUACAUAUACUAUGUUUUUUCAUAUAUAUACCUAUGAUAAAAUUUAAUUUAUAUAAUAGAUUAGGCAGAGACUAAUAACAAUAACUAAUAAUAAAAUAGAAGAAUUAUAACAACAUACUAUAAUAAAAGUUAACGUGAACAUUGUUUGUCUCAAAAUAUCUUAUUGUAUGUAAUAUUUUUGGACUGUGGUUGUUCAUAGCAAGUGAAAACUCAGAUGGGGGAGGGUGGCAUACUGUAUUUAUUUUCCUGUAUCCAUUAGUGUUUCCCAGUGAACACUGCACCAGGAGGUUGGCCAUUUGUCUUUAUUUAUACAUCAAACUAAGGCAUGGAGAAUAAGAGCUUGGUAAGGUCAUAUAGCCAGGAGGUGGUUGAACUGAGAUUCAAACUGAGACAGUCUGAGUCCAAAUUCUACCACCUCUUGUGUGUGACAUUUAAUGGAUAGGUGGGCUUUUGUAACCAGUGUCUCUGCCUUUCUCCAUGAUUCACAGCACAGAAACUUGUGCAUACAUUCUCACUUGAUAUCUGAAUGACUGUAACAGUGAUGUAAAUUAACAAGGAAGGGAGAUAGCCCUGAUUUAAUUGGAAAUCACUGACAGAGCUCGCCCAGUAAACUCUCUACAAACAGAAUACAAAUGUUUUGUAUUUAAUUGCUAAAGUGUUUUAAAAUUGAACUCAAAUUAAUAAAUACUUAUUGUAUCUGUCAGUUAAACGAAACAACCAAUAAACAACCAACUCUGUUUUCUAAUCAAGAGGGACUGAUCCUUUAAAAAAAAUAGGGUUUAAAAAAGAUGAUAUGAUCAAUGUAAAAUUGGAUUAUAGACUUUUAGAGUCUUAAAAGAUGAGAAAAGAGAUAAAGAUGAAUAGAUAUGGAGUAACUAGGAUAAGACUCUCUCACAAACUGGACCUUAAACAGAUUUAGGAAGAAAUAUAGGAUUAGGAUAGAGAAAAAGAAGAGAAAGAAUUGCCUAUAGGCAUAAUAAAAAGCACAAGUGUAUCAAUCAACACAGGGUAUUGUGGACCAGUGAGGAAGGAUCAUGAUCUAGACUAGGGGAUUCAUGUUGGAAACAGUGAGACAAGUUAGAAAGGAUAGGAUGGGACAUAUUAUAUGGUUCCAAACAUAAUAAAUGAGCACUUGAGCUAGAAAGUAGUAUAAUGUUCACAGGUGGUAAAGAGGUAUAAUGAAAAAACUAUACUUCACAAAAAUUAGUGGUGUUCAGUGGGUUGGAGAGAAGACCAAUUAGAAGGUUAUCUGUGGAAUUACAACAACCCAGUGAAUUGAGCUGAUGGAGAGAGAUGCUCCUCCCACUACCAACACUCAAACAUAAGGCAAAAAUAUUUAUAGGUGAUGAGUAAUGAUGAAAAAACAAAAGAACAAAUGAUAGAUGACAUGAAGAAUGGGAGUAGGGAAGACCAUAUUUAAGACUCUGAGGUCAUUAAAUGAUGUAACAUGUUUACUAGCCCAAAAAUAUAUACUAAAAGAGUAGAAAGAAAACAAAAAAUUUCCAAAUCAGUAGCAAGGAUCAAGAAAACAAUCCAAAUGGAAGGAAAGAACAAUGUCCCUUGGAACAUAACAAUAGAACAUAAUAUGAACAGUACCUCCUUCUAUGUAGUGUAGAUAUUAAACAUAGGGUGGGAAGUACACAUAUCAAUUUCAAAAUAGUGGUUUAAUCUGAAAUUGUUAAACAGAGAGGGAGGGAAGCAAUAGAACUGAGAGAGCGUUCAAAAGCCUUUUGUUGUAUCUGUAGAGUCUUUUAUUUCUUAAAAAUACAAUCGUAUACCACAUGAUAACAUUUUGGCCAAUGGACUACACAUAUGACAUGGUCCCAUAAGAUUAUAGUACUGUCUUUUUACUGUACCUUUUCUAUGUUUAGAUAUAUUUACAUAUACAAAUACCACUGUUAAAUUGCCUACAGUAUUCAGCACAGUAACAUGCUGUGCAGGAUUGUAGCCUAGGAGCAAUGGGCUACACCAUGUGGCCUAGGUGUGUCGUAGGCUCUACUAUUUUGGUUUGUAUAAGUACACUCUAUGAUGUUCACACAAUGAUGAAAUCACCUAACGAUGCAUUUCUCAGAAUAAGUUUCUGUUGUUAAGCAACCCAUGAUUGUAUCUGAAGCAAAUAUCUAUA